CGGACGGGUGAGUGACACGCGGAUAACCUACCUAUAAGACUGGGAUAACUUCGGGAAACCGGAGCUAAUACCGGAUAAUAUAUUGAACCGCAUGGUUCAAUAGCGAAAGACGGUUUUGCUGUCACUUAUAGAUGGAUCCGCGCCGCAUUAGCUAGUUGGUAAGGUAACGGCUUACCAAGGCAACGAUGCGUAGCCGACCUGAGAGGGUGAUCGGCCACACUGGAACUGAGACACGGUCCAG
rnacentral:rRNA from 1 species